UACGAAGGGGGCUAGCGUUGCUCGGAAUUACUGGGCGUAAAGGGCUCGUAGGCGGCCAACUAAGUCGGACGUGAAAUCCCUCGGCUUAACCGGGGAACUGCGUCCGAUACUGGAUGGCUUGAGUUCGGGAGAGGGAUGCGGAAUUCCAGGUGUAGCGGUGAAAUGCGUAGAUAUCUGGAGGAACACCGGUGGCGAAGGCAGCACCCUGGGACGACACUGACGCUGAGGAGCGAAAGCCAGGGGAGCAAACAGG
rnacentral:rRNA from 1 species